AUUGAACGCUGGCGGCAGGCUUAACACAUGCAAGUCGAGCGGUAGCACAGGGGAGCUUGCUCCCUGGGUGACGAGCGGCGGACGGGUGAGUAAUGUCUGGGAAACUGCCUGAUGGAGGGGGAUAACUACUGGAAACGGUAGCUAAUACCGCAUAACGUCGCAAGACCAAAGAGGGGGACCUUCGGGCCUCUUGCCAUCAGAUGUGCCCAGAUGGGAUUAGCUAGUAGGUGGGGUAAUGGCUCACCUAGGCGACGAUCCCUAGCUGGUCUGAGAGGAUGACCAGCCACACUGGAACUGAGACACGGUCCAGACUCCUACGGGAGGCAGCAGUGGGGAAUAUUGCACAAUGGGCGCAAGCCUGAUGCAGCCAUGCCGCGUGUGUGAAGAAGGCCUUCGGGUUGUAAAGCACUUCCAGUGAGGAGGAAGGUGGUGAACUUAAUACGUUCAUCAAUUGACGUUACUCGCAGAAGAAGCACCGGCUAACUCCGUG
rnacentral:rRNA from 1 species